rnacentral:rRNA from 1 species
AUUGUCCUCCGGCCGCAGGCUUUCCACAUUCAAUUCGAGCGGAUGAAGGGAGCUUGCUCCUGGAUUCCACGGCGGACGGGUGAGGAAUGCCUAGGAAUCUGCCUGGUAGUGGGGGAUAACGUCCCGGCACGGGCGCUCAUACCGCAUACGUCCCGCGGGAGAACGAGGGGGCCUUCCUGACCCCACGCUAUCCGCUUAGCCUAGGUCGGCUUAGCUAGUCGGUGGGGUAAAGGCCUCCCAAGGCGACUAUCCGUAACUGGUCUGAGAGGAUGAUCAGUCACACUAGAACUGAGACACGGUCCAGACUCCUACGGGAGGCAGCAGUGGGGAAUAUUCGACGAUGGGCGAAAGCCUGAUCCAGCCAUGCCGCGUGUGUGAAGAAGGUCUUCGGAUUGUAAAGCACGUUAAGUUGGGAGGAAGGGCAGUAAGUUAAUACCUUGCUGUUUUGACGUUACCAACAGAAUAAGCAACGGCUAACUACGUG